CGGGGUGCAGCAGGCGCGAAAACUUUACAAUGCCGGCAACGGCGAUAAGGGAACCUCGAGUGCCAGGUUACAAAUCUGGCUGUCGUGAUGCCUAAAAAGCAUUACAUAGCAAGGGCCGGGCAAGACCGGUGCCAGCCGCCGCGGUAACACCGGCGGCUCGAGUGGUAACCGUUAUUAUUGGGUCUAAAGGGUCUGUAGCCGGCCGGGUAAGUCUCUUGGGAAAUCUGGCAGCUUAACUGUCAGGCUUUCAGGAGAUACUGCCUGGCUCGAGGCCGGGAGAGGUGAGAGGUACUUCAGGGGUAGGGGUGAAAUCUUGUAAUCCUUGAAGGACCACCAGUGGCGAAGGCGUCUCACCAGAACGGACCUGACGGCAAGGGACGAAAGCUAGGGGCACGAACCGGAUUAGAUACCCGGGUAGUCCUAGCCGUAAACGAUACUCGCUAGGUGUCGGCCACGGUGCGACCGUGGUCGGUGCCGUAGGGAAGCCGUGAAGCGAGCCACCUGGGAAGUACGGCCGCAAGGCUGAAACUUAAAGGAAUUGGCGGG
rnacentral:rRNA from 1 species